UACGUAGGGUGCAAGCGUUAAUCGGAAUUACUGGGCGUAAAGCGUGCGCAGGCGGUUGUGCAAGACAGAUGCGAAAUCCCCGGGCUUAACCUGGGAACUGCAUUUGUGACUGCACGGCUAGAGUGUGUCAGAGGGGGGUAGAAUUCCACGUGUAGCAGUGAAAUGCGUAGAGAUGUGGAGGAAUACCGAUGGCGAAGGCAGCCCCCUGGGAUAACACUGACGCUCAUGCACGAAAGCGUGGGGAGCAAACAGG
rnacentral:rRNA from 1 species